ACGUGAGCCAAAAUGAAAUUUCC
rnacentral:snRNA from 1 species